UACGUAGGGGGGCGAGCGUUGUCCGGAAUCAUUGGGCGUAAAGCGCGUGUAGGCGGCCCGGUAAGUCCGCUGUGAAAGUCCAGGGCUCAACCCUGGGAUGCCGGUGGAUACUGUCGGGCUCGAGUCCGGAAGAGGCGAGUGGAAUUCCUGGUGUAGCGGUGAAAUGCGCAGAUAUCAGGAGGAACACCAAUGGCGAAGGCAGCUCGCUGGGACGGUACUGACGCUGGAGACGCGAAAGCGUGGGGAGCAAACAGG
rnacentral:rRNA from 1 species